GAUGAACGCUGGCGGCGUGCCUAAUACAUGCAAGUCGAGCGAACAGACGAGGAGCUUGCUCCUCUGACGUUAGCGGCGGACGGGUGAGUAACACGUGGAUAACCUACCUAUAAGACUGGGAUAACUUCGGGAAACCGGAGCUAAUACCGGAUAAUAUAUUGAACCGCAUGGUUCAAUAGUGAAAGACGGUUUUGCUGUCACUUAUAGAUGGAUCCGCGCCGCAUUAGCUAGUUGGUAAGGUAACGGCUUACCAAGGCAACGAUGCGUAGCCGACCUGAGAGGGUGCUCGGCCACACUGGAACUGAGACCCGGUCCAGACUCCUACGGGAGGCAGCAGUAGGGAAUCUUCCGCAAUGGGCGAAAGCCUGACGGAGCAACGCCGCGUGAGUGAUGAAGGUCCUCGGAUCGUAAAACUCUGUUAUUAGGGAAGAACAAAUGUGUAAGUAACUAUGCACGUCUUGACGGUACCUAAUCAGAAAGCCACGGCUAACUACGUG
rnacentral:rRNA from 1 species